GCUUUAGAAAACAUAAGAAUGAGUCAGGUGUGGUAACACAUGCUUGUGUCCCAGAUCAUGAGGCUGCGUCAGCAGGACCGUGAGUUAAAGACCAGCUUGUGCUGUGUGACAAGCCUCGGUCUCAAAAGGCAAGGAGGAGGAGGAAGAGGAGGACGAUGAAGAGAAAGAGGAAGAGGAAGAAGAAGCAGUAAGAGGGCUGCUCUGUGCAGGGGUGUGCCGUUCUGAGGCUAUCCCCAAAGGCUGUCCACUCUUUGUUCUCAGCAGACCACAUGCAUUGCCAGGGCUUGACACUUCCCUCACUCUUGGCUACCCCCCUUCUGCUGCACACCAACACUGAAUGUUCACACUGAGGACAGUGGCCACCAGCUGAAGGUCCACCAUAAACGGCUCACUGUCUUCCACAUAUGUUAGGUGUGCGGAAGCUGGUAUUGUGACGCAUGUGCAACCAACCUUGACGAAUAUAGGAAUGACGAAUACAGGAAUGGACGAAUGCUUCCUACCCUGGUGACUAGGAGUCGCUGGAAACUUUUGCAGUCUUGGCUCCCUUUUAGGGAAAUGCGCACUCGUGGAGCACGGUCCGAAGCAACUGAAAAUGAGAGACGUGCUAAGAAGACGUGGUAAGAGAGGCCAUGGUGCAGGGAGGCGGGGGCACAAGGUGGCGGGAGAAAGCAACUCCGGGCACUCGGAAAGUGGUAACAAUGUAUUGAAAAGCAUGAAAAUCUCCUGAUGGGGAAUAAGAAGCAAGCUGUCUCGUGUUUCUUGCCCGCAUGUGAACGAGAUCACAUUGGCACAGUCUCUCCUCGCAGCUCAUUCACUGAUUUCCCUCGGCAGUCAAAGUCAUUCUUCUCCGUUUCCACUGAGAAGUCCUCCAGUCAUAAAAGGCAUGCUGAAGACAGUGGGGUGUCUUCUGUUGGCUACAUCAACAUCUCAAACUCCAUCACCAUGUUGCUUGGCAACUGAGGAAAUAUUGUUGUGAUUCAACAAAAGUUAUCUCGAGUAAAUUCACAAUGAAACAGCUAAAAAGCAUUAUCUCCUCCUACAUUCCACUCGUAAGAUAAGAAGGCACAUUGGGCCAGGAAACAGAAACAUACAUACAACACGGCCAAGAGCAGGCAGGCCAGGAAAUGCCUGGCCUGGGAUCAGAAGUCCUGGGCAAGUCUUGGGUCCUUUGAGGCACUCAGGGUCUUUCAUCAGCAGGGAGAUCAAGUGUAGUUAAUGAGCUCUGACAUUUCAUGAGUCAAAAGAAGCAGUAAAAACUACGAGGACACGACCAGUUAGUUGUCUGUUUGGACCACAGUGUCACAGGCCUAGUGGGGAAAAAUCAUCCACUCUCCACCGGUAAAGACUCCAAAGCUAAUGCUUUUACAUACACGCACACACACACACACACAUGUACACAUGCAUGCACACGUGCACAGGCACACACACACGCACAUCAUGCCUCAGAAAAGUUCAGCGUCAUCCUGUUGAGUCAAAGAGUCUCUCCUAGAAACUUCUUCAAGACCACUAUAUUGAGCAACUCAAGAGUCAAGGAAUUCUGGAAAAACUACAGCAACUCCUUACAGAAAAGACAAACAAUGUACUAACUGCCAAAAGGGAAGCGGCAGCCAAAACGGAAAAGUGCCGCAGUUGGAGACCAUACUGUGGUGAUCAGGUGUUAACGGUGCUGAGUUUAGAAGGGGAGGCUGAGGGCUCGGUUCUAACAGCACAGCUAUACUAACCACCUUAACAGGGGACACCGUGGAAGAGGAAACAGAAAGAAGGCAAGAAGAGCAGGCUGGAGGGGUGGCUUGGUGGUUGUGAGCACCCACUGCUCUCCCAGAGGGCCUGGGUUCUGUUCCCAGCACCUACGUGGACGCUCACAGUUCCCAGGUGACCUGAUAAUGUCUUCUGGCCUCCAUGGGCAUUGUACGCAGGUGGUGCAUAAACACAGACAGGCAAAAUUCUCAUAUUGAUAAAAGAAAAAUAAGUAAACCUCUUUAAAAAGGAAGGAUCUAAGAUCCAUAGGAUAGGGAGGAACGCUGUAAAAAUGUUGUCUUCUAGCCACAUAAUGUGGCUAGCUCAAGGUCUCACAGAGGCUGCGGUCACCUGCACAGGAUCUAUGCAAGAACAGGCCAACAAAAAUACCCGCACUGAUGGAGUAGACGAUGUCCUGACCCUGUCCCUUACUGAGGAGCUGUUGGCAGUGGGUACUUGCUGGGGGGAUGUGGCCACUGGUAAGCUUCCCAUGCUCUAUUGGAGCUCCAUCCCACACACUUAUGGAUAGCUCUAACUAGAUUCAGUGAGAUACCAAUAAAUAAAUAAGUUGGAAGGGGGACACGUUGAGGGUAGAUGGGAAUAGGAAGGGAGAAAUUGGGGGACUAGGUAUGGCCAUAUUUCAUUCUACAUAUGUGUUCCCCAUAUAUGAACAAUUUCAAAAAUAAAGAAUAUCUUUUAAAAAGAUGUCAAGUUCAGAUCCUGGCUCUGCUACUUACGGAUUAGACCAGUGUUCCAGCUCUGUGUCGGGGUCUAUGCACCUGUGAGCAGUACACACCCCUUAACAGGUGCUGUACCAGCAACAGUCACAGACACAGAAUUAGCUGCUGUUGUGCUUUGCAUGGAAGUCAACAAUAGCGUCUCUGUUGUUGUUGUUUUACACUCUUUGCUUUUUGUCCUCCUGAAGACAGAGUCUCACUGUGUAGUAAGACUGGUCUCAGCCUGAGUAAAGGUACCUGCCGUUUUGCUUGAUGAUCUGAAUUUAUGGACCCACAAUUUGUCCUCCGAUGUCCACACGCAUGCCAUGCCACACAAGGACAGGACAUAUACGCACACACUAAAGAGAUAAAUAUGGGUUUUUCAAAAAACUGGUGAAAAAAUAUUGUCAAGGCAUAUGUCAGAAAGGGGACUUGAAACUGCAAUACCUAAAAAACAUUUAUGGUUUGAUAAUGAAAACUGAAUAGCUUAAUUUAUAAGUAGGGGAAAGAUGUGGAUACACAUUUCUUUUAAGAAUAUAUAUAUGGUCAAUAGCAUGUGAAAAGAUUCUCAGUGUCAUUAGCCAUACGACAGGGAAAAUGAGAAGACAUGCUAUCACUUCAGUAUUAGUGAGAAUAAGAGGCUUGGAAUUUUCAUUCACAUUAAUAGUGGGACUGUAAAUCAGAGCAAGUAUUUGUUUAGAAAAAAAUCUGAUCGUUUUUCAAAAGGUUAAGAUAAGAUAGCAUAUGAUCUAGAUAUCCAAACCUUAGAGAUAUACUCAAGAGAAAUAAAACAUGUGCACACAAAAACUUAUUCUUACAUCAUAGCAGCUUUUUAAUAUUAAACAAAGAAUAAAAGCAAUUAAAUGUUUGUCAACUUAUCCCUUAGAUAAAUAGGUCAAAAGCUACUUAUCUUAUAGAUAAGAAUUAUGGGUUAAGUUGUAAGAGCAAGUUAAUAAUAAGCCUGAGCUAAUAGGC